rnacentral:rRNA from 1 species
CAGUGGGGAAUAUUGGACAAUGGGCGCAAGCCUGAUCCAGCCAUGCCGCGUGAGUGAUGAAGGUCUUAGGAUUGUAAAGCUCUUUCACCGACGAAGAUAAUGACGGUAGUCGGAGAAGAAGCCCCGGCUAACUUCGUGCCAGCAGCCGCGGUAAUACGAAGGGGGCUAGCGUUGUUCGGAAUUACUGGGCGUAAAGCGCAUGUAGGCGGAUAUUUAAGUCAGGGGUGAAAUCCCAGAGCUCAACUCUGGAACUGCCUUUGAUACUGGGUAUCUUGAGUAUGGAAGAGGUGAGUGGAAUUCCGAGUGUAGAGGUGAAAUUCGUAGAUAUUCGGAGGAACACCAGUGGCGAAGGCGGCUCACUGGUCCAUUACUGACGCUGAGGUGCGAAAGCGUGGGGAGCAAACAGGAUUAGA